CAGCUCAAAUUGCUGCCAUUUUUGCUGAAAAAACAGACCUAGAAAUCCCAGCCAAAACCCAGUUCCAAAACACCUAAAACCGGCACCAAAAACCCGAUGAAACACCGUAAAAAUCAGCUUCUAAACCCCUCCAUAAACCAGCCCUUAAAAACAUCUUCAAGCAGUCUCAAAGAAGCCCCAAAACCAGUAAAAAAUGCACCAAACUCCAGCUCAAAACCAUCAACUUCACUAAAUGUUUCGGUCAAGCAUAGAGGUGUGUCGAGGUUCGAGGUUCGAAGGCUUCAUCCGUGGUCCGCAGACUCCAAAUGAUUUGUUAUUGUACAUUUGAGGUUCCUCUUCCUUUCCAGAUUCUUUUAAUAAUGCUUUAGCUUGGGUUAUAAAAUUGUUGAAUGAAUAGUUUGUUGCUAUGUGUUUGAAAUAAGCAGUGCACUUAUUUAGAUUAUAUUUGUAUUUUUUAUUCAUGUUUAAUCCUUGUUAAUUCUAAGGCUCAAUUAGUUCGGUGAUAGUUGAAUUAUAACCCAAAUAAUAAAUCACUUUGUUAAUUGAUCUUGUUUCUAGUUGAAGGUUAAGAAUAUAAUUGGUAGUACUGUUGGAUAAGAACUUCAGAAUGGAUAAGGAAAUUUGGACUUAAACAUUGGGCCAAGGUCAAUGGAAUUAAAUGGGAACAAAUGAAUAAUGUGUGCGUGUGUGUGAAUUUUGAGUAUCUCAAGGUAUGGUUUACUACUUAAUAAGAACAUGUGCAAUUAGCUCUUGAUACUGAUUUUUCUCCAAAUGUAUUAUACUGUUUGAUUGGUUUAGUAUUUACAUACCUGAUAGAGUUUGAAUUGUCUAUGAUAAUUUAUCGAUUUUUCUAUUUAUCUUUGAAGCAAAUAAAUCAAUACGGUGGGAUACAUGCUAAUUUGUGCUUAUCGUAUUUGAGAUUUAGUUGUACAUGAAGGCAGUGAGAACACUUUUUUUAAGAAUAUGCACGUUUUUUUACUCUCUUAAAUUUCAAAUACACUUUGUCCCCAAUGAGAUUCCAUAACUCUUGUCCUCUAAUAGGCAUCUCGAUUUAGUUUAGGAAGUAAAUCAAAUAUCGUAGCUCGCUUUAGGUUAAUGAAUAAAUUAUUAAAACUAUGGGUACGACUCCCGUGACAUGGUUGUGAUAAUUAAUUUUAAAUUAUAUUAAAAAUAGGAGCAUCUUUAAUUUGACUUUAAAAUAUAUAACCCUUUUUUUCUUAAAAUAAUUUGAGGUGUGUCACUCUUAAAACCUAUAAUACAUGGCCCUCACAAAAUUAGAUCAAGAGCUAAUCCUUUGAGAAAGUAACUUGGGGUGUGCCAUAUACAAAUAAAAUCUUUUAAUUUAUGGCCCUCAUAAAAAUACAAGAUUAGUUUAGAAAUGCCUUGACCUUUCGUAGUUUUCUUUAGGCACGUUAAUUAAAUAAUUGUCAUAGCUACGGGUACGGUUCUCGUGAUGUAGUCAUGACGCUUAAUUACUAAAAUUCGGGGGUAUAUUUAUGUGACCCGGCCACAAUUUAAUCUCUAAUAAAUUAAACAUGUUGUAGAUCGUGGGUAUGGUUCCUGUGACACGAUUCACAAUGUGCAUCAAAUAAACAAGGGUACGACAAUCGUAACUUGUUCCAGAUUAAUUCCAUAAAAAAUAAUUAAAAGUGGUUUAAAAGGUUAAAAUGCACAAUAUGUUUUAAACAUGUAAUAAAUCGGAUAAUAGUUUAAGCGACUGUGCUAGAACCACGGAGCCCGGGAAUGCCUAACACCUUCUCCCGGGUUAACAAAAUUCCUUAUCUAGAAUUUCUGGUUCGCAGACUUAAAAAAUAAAAGUCGAAUUUCCUCGAUUUGGGAUUUUAAAAUAAAUCGGUGACUUGGGACACCAAUUAAACUAUCCCAAGUGGCGACUCUAAUAAAUUAAAUAAUCUCAUUUCGAAUAAUGCCACUUUAAUUGGAAAAACUCCUAUAUACCCUCGGGGGGGGGGGGGGGCAUGUGUGACAGCUCUGUCGACUCUGCUGGGGAACGAACCCAGAAUCUCUGGUUUUAGGUUCAAGAAUUCCAGCUUAGAAUAACUGUUAUACUUGCCUUUGUUUAUUAUAUGAUUUUUACAUGUUUGGGCAUAAUGUGCUAAAUAUCGCUUUUUAUUGCUUUGAUUUAUUUAAACUGUAUAUAAACUGUUACGAAACCCUUCUCUUCUCAUCUUCGGGUAUGUGCACGCUGGCGUGACUCCUCUUUCUAUUAGUGUCAUACCUUGAAAUAAGAAAGAGGCUCGGACAAGUUACAAAGCCGGAUGACCUUUUGGUUCCUGAUACGUAGCCCCCCUGGCUCGAGUUGUCCACUCAGGUACACAAGUCUAGAAUAAUUUAACCAGGUUAUAAACUUAGAAUAACUCAGCCUCAUGUCGGAUCCCUAGUAGGAACGCUUGUUUGCAUCAUGUGCAUUUAACUUUGGGGACUCAACACAGGGGUUAGGUCCGUCUAGGACAGGUGGACCCCAGAAUCAAAGAUCAUCCUGAUGCAUAUUUUACGUGCUACUUGUGCAAUUAUUUGUUUUGGUUUGCAUGUUGACCGGUUGCUUCGGUUUGCAUGUUGAGGUAUGAGAGAAUUGAUUACCCGUUUUUGAAAAAACCUGGCGUCCAAAAUAAGCCGAAACUCUGCCGAAAUUUUGGAAGAAAAAAAAAAGAAAGGUCAUUCAAGAUGAGCCAAAACUUUCAAGUGUCAUAUUUCCUUUGUUCCGUCAAAACUGACUGAACUACGCAGGUCUGAUUCUCACCGGAUGUGAGAUACGUAGGCAAACCUCAUCGAUUCUGACCCCAAUUUUCAAAAAAAUUCAAAAAGUUUAUUUUUUCUUAGUUCCUUCUUUAGAAAUCUUUCCUUAGAAAUUCAAAAAAAAAAGAAGUUUUUAAACUCAAAAAUAGUUUUCUUCUUUCUGAAAUCUUUCAUAUGAAAAAAAUCAAAAGAAAUAAAAAUCCAAAAUGCGGGUUUCCUUUAUUUUGAAGUAUUUUUCUAAAAAAAAUUAAAAAAAAACCAAAAAAAAAAAUAGAAUUAAAAAAAAGAAGAAGAAGAAAAUAUUCUUUUCCUUCUUUAAAAGUAUUUCUUUCGUAAAUGCCAACAAAAUAAAUAUUUGAAAAAAGGUUGAAGUCCAUAAAUAUUUUUGCUUUUCUUUAGAAGUACUUUUGUAAAUAAAUAAAAAGCUCAGAAAUUCAAAAUAUUUUCUUAAAAGUCUCUCUUUCAAAAAUUAAGAGGCAACAUCCAAAAUCCAAAAAUAUUUUCUUUCCUCUUUAGAAAAAGAGAAACAAAUAAAAAUUCAAACAAAAAUAUUUUAUUUUUACUUUUAAAAUUCCCAAAGUUCAAAUCAAAAGCAAAUUAAUUUUUAGAAGUCUUUCUUUAAAAAAAAACUAAACAAAAAUCAAAAAAAAAAUUCCUUUCUUCUUUUAAAGCAUUUCUUUCAAAAUAUUCCAACAAAAAAAAGAGUUAGUUUAUUUACUCUAUUUUUUAUCUUCCCGAACUACGCAAGAUCUGAUUCAUGCGGUGUCAUGAUACGUAGGCAAACCCCAUCGGAUUCGAUCAUAGCUAUAAAAUAAAACCGAGUGAAAAAUAAUUUGAAAAAAAAAAGAGAGAAAGAAAAAAAAUUGAUUGAAUGAAAAAGAAAGAAAAGAGCGAAAAAGGGAAAAAAGAGAGUGACAAAAAAUGAAAGAGUGACAAAAAUAAAAAGAAAAGAAAAGAGAGUGUCAAAAAAAUAAAAAAUAAAAGAGCGACAGAAACAAAAUGAAAAAAAAAUAAAAAAUCAAGAGUGAUUUAAAGAGAGAUAGAAUAAAAGAAAAGAAAUACAUACUCAAAGGGUUAGUUAAGGCCGAGAUGAAACAUGCAACCGUUCAAACACAUGGUAGAAGCGUUUAACUGUUAGGUGCAUUGCAUCCCAACGUGCGAUUUGCUAUAUGUUAAAUGUCUCAAAACUAACAAGGUUGUGGUGUGAGCAAAUUAGCUAAGUUAUGUUCAGGUGGUUGGUUUUGUUGGUAUGCGGUGAUGAACGCGCAACCUUGCACGCGGCCACAACAUUAUACACAAAACCGAGCUCCAACUCCCAGAAAUGCCCAUCAUUACCAAGCUCCAUAUAACCCCCAAUCAAAUAUUCCCCACUACAAUCCUCGCCCAAGAGAGCGUUUCAAAAGGAAUCAGUUCACCCCUAUUAGUGAAUCAUACUCGGGCUUGUUCCAAAAGCUAGUCAGGUGAGGUCUACUGUGGCCAGUGGCCCAAAAAAUCGGCCAAACCCCGAGCCCUCCUCUCACCGAGCUGAUGCUAGAUGUGAAUACUACUCUGGAGCAUUGGGGUACAGUACAGAGGACUGUUGGACCCUCAAAAGGGCAAUUGAAGAUUUGAUUGAAGCUGAAAGAAUCAUUCUCCGAGACGAAGAGGCUCCUAAUAUGAUGAACAAUCCUCUGCCUACUCUCACAAAUGGGCCAGUAGUCGGAAUGAUAUGUGAAGAUGAAGAAUUUGAUUCGGCACUGAAGUCCAUUGCAUCCAUUGCCGAGAUAGAAGAAAAAACAAAAAAAAUGAUCGUCAAGCCUGAAAGUUCCCUAUCAGACGGGAGUCUCGGUAGCCAGUCUUGCUAUCCUUUCUGUGACCGGAUUACCUCAGAGUGUGAUCCGGAUGUUUUACUUUAUUAUCUUACUUUCCGAUGUUAACCCUUCUAUCUUUAAAAUUCAAAAAAAAAUCAUCAAAAUCAAAAAUCAAAAAAAUCAAAUGAAAUUAAUAUUUUAUUUUCCAGGAAUAUCUCUUUUCUUAGUCUUGUCACUUUUCUUAUUUUUCUUUUCAAUUCUGUUAAAUGCAAAUUUCAAUAACAUGACAUGCUUGCAGACUUCAUGCCCAGAUCUUGAAAGCUGUCAGACCUCGAAAUAAUGAAUCAAGAAUUAGAUUGCAAAGAAAAUAAGUUUAAGGAAACAAAAUAAAGAGUUGGAGCAGUUAAAGGAAAAUUGAUUCCAGAUUGGAAAGAUCCAUACAUUGCAACAAGAGUACAGCCAAAAGAGUGCGUUGUACUUGGGACACAUUGAAGGAAAUGUCACGGAAACAACUGGCAAUGCAAAUGCAGUCAAAAGGUACUAUGUUGGAUCAUCUAUAUAACAUUAAUACUCUGAUUGGGAUGACGAAGGCUUUCAUAGUCCCUACCAAAAUACUAUCAACCCUUUGCAAACCUUUUGAGCCGGUUACUCUUCUUUGAUUACCCUCUUUGGAACCUGAAAGUGUUAUUGAAAAAAAAAAGAGAAAAUAAAAAAUGAAAAAUGAAAAAAAAAUAAAAAAAAAUAAAAAGAUACAAAAAAGGGGGAGGAAAAGACAAAGAAAAUGAAAGAGAGAGAGAGAGAGAGAGNNNNNNNNNNNNNNNNNNNNNNNNNNNNNNNNNNNNNNNNNNNNNNNNNNNNNNNNNNNNNNNNNNNNNNNNNNNNNNNNNNNNNNNNNNNNNNNNNNNNNNNNNNNNNNNNNNNNNNNNNNNNNNNNNNNNNNNNNNNNNNNNNNNNNNNNNNNNNNNNNNNNNNNNNNNNNNNNNNNNNNNNNNNNNNNNNNNNNNNNNNNNNNNNNNNNNNNNNNNNNNNNNNNNNNNNNNNNNNNNNNNNNNNNNNNNNNNNNNNNNNNNNNNNNNNNNNNNNNNNNNNNNNNNNNNNNNNNNNNNNNNNNNNNNNNNNNNNNNNNNNNNNNNNNNNNNNNNNNNNNNNNNNNNNNNNNNNNNNNNNNNNNNNNNNNNNNNNNNNNNNNNNNNNNNNNNNNNNNNNNNNNNNNNNNNNNNNNNNNNNNNNNNNNNNNNNNNNNNNNNNNNNNNNNNNNCCCUGAACUACGUUUGACUUGAUUCCGAAAGGAUACGUAGGCAGCCUCUCUCUGGGGUUCAGUCACAUCAAAACGAAAAUCCAAAUUCCCCAAAAGUUGAAACUGGGGAUGAAGUUAUAAAGGUUCGGCGAUGGUUUCGCCUGAAAGGUUCCAAAAUUGUAAUUAAAUCCAAAUUCUUUUUACCCCAAAUCAUGUUCAAGUCCUUCCGAUCAAUCGGUAAGAAUGUUCAAGGAAAAAAGAAUACAGUUACUUGGAUCCAAUACAGUCAAAAUGAGAGAAAUGAAAUAAGACAGUUUUAUUGGAGAAAACCCACACGGGCACUGUGAGGUGACAGUAAGCAGAGAAACAAAAUGAGAGAGUCUUAUUGGUGAAAACCCACACGGGCACCACGAGGCGAUGGUAAGCAGAGAAAUGAAAAAUGAGAGAGUCUUGUUAGUAAAAACUCGCAAGAUCACUACAAGGCGAUGGUGAGAAGAGAAAUAAGAAAGGUCAGCUCGUGAAAACCCGCAAAAGGCACCACUAAUCGAAAACGAGGAUCUUCAGUCACUGACAUUGAUGCAGUCCUGGGCAAGGUUUCUCGGUUUUGAGGCAAAAGCUAUGAUGAAUUUCUGAGAUUUGGACGGUUUGCACAGAUCAGGCAUCCAGUCCAAAAGGCAUGUCAUGUUCAUUGAAGUUCGCAUGUAAUCCAGAUAUGUCCUUCUUUUCUUUACCCGAAAGGGAUACCCCUUGUCUAAAUUCAUUUAUCAAUUCCUUUGUUUGUUUUUCUUUUGAAUCCUUUUCGGUCUAACUCUAUUCCGAAACUAAGACAAAGAAGGGAUGACAAGACUAAUUUACAGGGGUCUCAUUUGAUACAAGCCAAUAUGCAAAAAGGCACCCAACCUCGUCAGGGGGAAUCAAGUCGACCUCGACUAGCCAUGGGGGUCGAUGCUUCGAAAUCAGAACUCUCAGAAGGAGAAAAUCAAAUUGAAGUGCCUACAAAGGCAAAAUGAAGUUGAAAAGGUUGAGUCACACGUGGCUAACCGUCUCGGCAAAGAUUUGGAAAAAGCCAAGGUACCUCAAAAGCUCUAAAAUUGAAGUUGGAAGAAUGAAGCCAGAAAUGAAAGGCUUAUAAAGGCAAAAUAAAGUUGGAGAAGGUUAAGUCCCACGUGACUAGCCGUUGCGACUAAGUUUGAGGAGCAAAAAGUUUCCCAAUGCCCCGAAGUUAAAAAUUGAAAAAAAAAGAGUCAGAAGUGAAAGACCUACAAAGGCGAAAUAAAGUCGAAAAGGUUGAGUUCCACGUGACCAAACAUCAUGGCAAAGUCUGGAAAAACUAGAGGUUCUCCAGGGCCUGAAAUGAAAUCAGUCCUCAGGGAACAAGCAGUUGCAAUUGAGAUCUUCAUCAAAGAAGUCGGCUGAGAUCAAGUGAUUGAAAUAAUCAAGGCCACAAAACCAACCACCACUUCAAACUAACAAUUAUUUUUUGUUUGAAAACAUGAAACAUGUGCAAUCCAAAGCAACCUUGCAAGAAGCAGGUGCAACCAAAAAAGAAACUGCCAAGGGCUAGAAGCAACUUUGCAGCAAUAAUCAAUCCAAAAUGGUAGCCUAAGGUCCCCAAUCUCUAGCUACGUUUUUCCAACAUAGGAUCCUAUUCCCUAGUCGUUGCCAGCAUAACCUGGUAAUCUUUUCUAUUAUAGGGUUCCACUCCCUAGUUGAUCCCCGGCAUAACCCAUGGACCUCUCCAGCAUAACCCGAGGACCUUUUUCUUAUCCGGCAUAACCCGAGAACUUUUUUUUCUUUUCUGGCAUAACCCGAGGACUUUUCCGGCAUAACCCGAGGACCUUUUUCUUAUCUGACAUAACUCUAGGACUUUUUUUUUCUUUUCCGGCAUAACCCGAUGACUUUCCCGGCAUAACCCGAGGACCUUUUUCUUUUCCGGCAUAACCCGAUGAUCUUUCCCGGUAUAACACGUGGACAUCCCCGGCAUAACCCGAGGACCUUUUUCUUUUCUGGCAUAACCCGAUGAUCUUUCCUGGCAUAACCCGUGGACCUCCCCGGCAUAACCCGAGGACCUUUUUAUUUUUCGGCAUAACCCGAUGACUUUCCCAACAUAGCCCGUAGACCUCCCCGACAUAACUCGAUGACCUUUUUCUUUUCCGACAUAACCCGAUAACUUUUCCGGCGUAACCCGUGGGCCUCCUCGGCAUAACCCGAGGACCUUUUCUCUUUUCCAGCAUAACCUGAUGACUUUCCCGGCAUAACCCAUGGGCCUCCCCGGCAUAACCCGAGGACCUUUUUUCUUUUCCGGCAUAACCCGAUGACUUUCCCGACAUAACCCGUGGACCUCCCCGGCAUAACCCGAGGACCUUUUUUUGGCAUAACCCGAGGACAUUUUCUCUUUUCCAGCAUAACCCGAUGACCUUUCUCUGCAUAACCCGAGGACCUUUUUACCUUUUCCGGCAUAACCCGAUCAUCUUUCCAGCAUAACCUGACAAUCUUUCCAAUUUAGGGCUCCGAUCCCUAGUUGAUUUCAUUAUGGAUACAGGGUCUCCACUCCUUAAUCUCUUUUUCUCAGGGAUACACAAUCUCGAUUUUUUAUUGCUUUCAUUAAAGAAAUAGUUUAGAUUUUAUUACAAUAACUCACAAAAUUUUCCUAGUGAAAACUGGGGUAGAAAAAUUUCGUUCAUUUGUCUCCUUUGGUGCCUAAAUAGGUUUUCACCAAAAGAAGAAGUCUUAACCCAAAUAAAAGAAAAGAAGAAACAAGAAAAAGAAGUGAACUCAAAGUGCAGAAGCGGAGAAAGAUGCGGACUGCUCAAGAUGUGAUUGAAGUCGCAAGCUUCACAUGUCCCGCCUUGAUCCGAAAAGCUGAAGAAGAAGGAACCAGCACCUGCAGCUAACAAGCAUCAAGAUUCAUAUCAGAGUAUGCAUGAAGAACCAACCAAGACUCAAGGUCAAGCUUCAAAAGACUCAUAGAUAGGAAUAUUGUAACUCGUAGCUGAUAGGCUUAGUUAGUCUUUUUAAUUUUGAUUUUUAUGUAAUAACGGGACCACGGACCGGAAACUCGACGGCACCUCGCUCGGCUCUCAACCUUGGUACUCCAUCACCUCAUUCACUUCUGAACUACACGCGACCUGAUUCCCUUAUGACCCAGGAUAUGUAAGUUGUCCAAAAUCAGGACUCGGUUGCACCCUUUGCUUUGUUUAUUUUCUCUUUUGAAAUAAAAAGGAUUUGUUCAAAAAUUAGUCACAUGGCUCACCUUAUCUUUGCUUGUAAACUCCUCAUGUUUCCAAGCAAAGAGGGGCAGCUGUGAGCAGCUAAUUUUUUACCAUGUUUGAAUUUAUUCCCACUUUCUCCACUCACUUCCCACUUCCCCCACUUUAUCCACUCACUACCCACUUUCCCCACUCAUGUUCUCCACUCUACCCACUUUCCCAAAAAUAUUACCUACACUCUAAGACUAAAACAGCCUCAAUUCACCUUUUAAAAGUAGCUGAAACACGCAGCAAGAACCAGCUGGGAAGAGCGGCAAAAAUCAGCUGCAAGGCAGCCAAAAAAUGCUACUAAAACAGCACGAAAAACAUUCAAAACAGCAGCUCAAAUUGCUGCCAUUUUCGCUAAAAAAUAGACCUGGAAAUCCCAGUUCCAAAACACCUAAAACCGGCACCAAAAACCCGAUGAAAUACCGUAAAAAUCAGCUUAUAAACCCCUCCAUAAACCAGCCUUUAAAACCAUCUUCAAGCAGUCUCAAAGCAUCCCCAAAACCAGUAAAAAAUGCACCAAACUCCAGCUCAAAACCAUCAACUUCUCUAAAUGUUUCGGUCAAGCAUAGAGGUGUAUCGAGGUUCGAGGUUCGAGGUUCGAAGGCUUCGUCCGUGGUUCGCGGGCUCCAAAUAAUUUAUUGUUGUACAUUUGAGAUUCAUCUUCCUUUCCAGAUUCUUUUAAUAAUGCUUUAGCUUGGG
rnacentral:lncRNA from 1 species